CGUUCGACGUCAUCUAUUCUUUCCAAGGUUUUGUUGUCAACAAGCAUCAAGUUGGUCGUUCGCGUGCACCGCUUGGGCGACUGCGGCGGCGAGGGCUUGUCUCUCUGGGAGGCGCUUCCGUCGGUCGCAAUGGUCGGCAGCCAGAAAUCAGCAAUAGCAUGGAAAUAGAAGCAGCUUCUGCGAUGAUGAAAAUGGGAAUGGAUACAACAAUUGCCACUCGAGACUAUCAAAGCAGAGUUCAUGAGGUUGAGCUCGAAACUUAUAUUUGAUGAACCAAAAGAGCCAAGGAAUGAUGUUACUUUGACCUGGGAGGACCUCUGUAGUUAACUUAUUGAAAGAAAACAUUCGAUUUGUGAGUUUAGUUUAAUUUCAAAGCCACGCUCUUGUCUGCCUAAGGGGCUUAAAUAUUACGUGCAUUUGACUUUUGGAGCUCACAUGACUGGUAGAUUGAGCUCAAGCACAAGGAAAAUAUGAGACAUUCUAGUCAACGGCCAUAAGCAAUCUCUGGCUUAUGGAACUUCAGCUUAUGUGAUGCAAGAUGACGUAUUGUUAACAACGCUAACUAUGAGAGAAGCUAUUUACUACACAACUCAGCUACAACUGCCAGACUCCAUGCCAGUAUCCGAGAAGAGGGAAAGAGCAGAAACGGCAAUAAGGUAAAUGGGACUGCUAGAUGCCAUGGACACAAGAAUUGGAGGCCGGGGGAUUAAAGGACUAAGUGGUGGUCAAAAGAGAAGAGUUAGCAUUUGCCUGGAAAUUGUCGCCUGCCCGAAGCUUCUCUUCCUUGACGAACCAACCAGUGGACUCGACAGCGCAACAUCCUAUUAUGCCAUGAGCAGAAUAGCCAGCCUGGACCAAAGAGAUGGAAUUAGAAGAACUAUAAUCACGUCAAUUCAUCAGCCCAGUAGUGAAGUCUUCCAACUUUUAUCAGGUGCUUUAGAUUGGUUGUAGUAGGGUGGGCCAUGAUCAUUGCAUAUGAUCAGUGGGAGGUUGUUUUGUGAACUCAUUUGUUGUCUUCUCUUUCUUGUAGUGUUGUGCGCACAUAUGAAAGCUGUAAACUUAUAUGUUCUUGUCUCUUUUUGUAAUGGAA